AGGUCGGCUUGGGCUAAUCGAUCGCCAUGCCAACUCGCUUGCCGAACAUACACAAAUAUUUGUUCGUUUAACUUUUUUUUAAUUUAAUUUAAUUUCGGCUUUUUUGAGUGAGGGUUUUUUUUUGGUAAGCAGGCUGAAGGGCCGAUUAAUGCACUAUUUUUGCUUAGGUAUUUUGAUAAUUUUUUUACAAUGUUUUAAAAUGCACCCUUUAGAUCAGUUUAAAGAAAAAAGUUUGGUACUAUUUGAAAUAGAAAAAAAUUAAAAGUUAAAUUUAAAAAAGUUAUUAAAUUUUCAAAUCCUUUCGUGACUUUUGCCUCACCCAGUGAGAGUAGAGGAAGGACUGUCAGACAAUGUGUCGUCAUUUUUGUGGUGAAUUUGUAGAUGCAGCGAUUUUUCUAUUUCUUCUACCGCUUCUUGUUCUUACUACAUUAGCUGGAACAAUUUCGUUUCGACAAAAAAAUUUCAUUUAAUUUUCUAGUAUGGCUUACUUGAAAAUGAUCUGAGUUGCCAAAAUGGAGUGUUUACUCUAAAAAUUGCCAUUUUCUAUUAAAUAAUGUUAUAUAUCACAAAUUAUUGUAGCUCAAAUAUUUUCUGAAUUAGUACCAGUUUUGUUCGUCAAGAUCCAGAUUUGGAGUUCUUGAAAUAAAUUGGGAAUUUCUUAAUUUUGUAAUUAUUCAUAGAUAUUCUCAUAAUUCUUUUACAGUAUUAUAAGAAAUUUUUUGUAAAUCAUUUUUUGGAAAAAGUUUGUUUUUCAAAAAAAGUCGAAAAUUGGCCGAAAUAGGGCAACAUGUAUAAGGAACGCAUUUUUCCUCAAUUUUCUAGUUUUUUUUAUUACUUAUAAAUAUGACUCAAAGGAUAAGCGUUUUCUAAGAAAUAAUUUCAUAUAUGAACCAUCUUUAUGGCUCAAGUACUUUCCGAGUUAAAACCAAUUGUGUCUGUCAAGACUCCGAUUUCCGGGAUUUGGCAAUUUUGGAACCAACAGGUAAUUUUUCAUAUUUUUGUUGUCUUUGGAGAUUUUUCCUAAUAACUUCCAAGCUAUUAAAGGUAUUUGCUGUAACGUUACAAACAAUACGAUUUUAAUAUAUAGGUAUUUAUUUACUCUUACAAAAAAAUCCCAACUCUGGGUGCUUUAAUUAGCUUUUUACGGAAUGCCUUGCGUCAUACCAAAUGUAAAGUCUUGAGGCACAUUCGGAAUCAACUAAACUAAAGCUACAGUUCCAAAUACAUGACAAUUCUCCCCAAACAAUAAUAUAACUCUAAUUUAAAUGGAAUUUGAGUUUUAGUAGUAUAUUCAUUUUUUAUGUUAUACCUAACCGGAGUCAUUAAAGUAUUCUUGUCUAAAACCGUAGAUCCUUAAGUGAAGAUGCUGUAUUGUUAUUCGAAGAUAUUAAAGAAUGCCCUUAAGUCAUGAUGCGGUAAUGGUGAAAUUUGGAUAUCGUUAAAGCUAGACAUUUUUAUUAUUUAUCAAGACUUCACCGGUUGGAUCAUUCUUUAAAACCGCAGAUGAUAGAAAUAUUUUAGCUGAGCUGCAUGCAUAAAUUUUACCGUUACUGUUAACCAAAACUAGAUAUGUUGGUUGACUACCAGGUACUCAAAAUUUUUUGUUAUUUUUAUAAAUCAAAACUAGCACAAGUUGGUAACCUUCCCUGCUUUCUAGGCUAAGUAAAGUUGUCUAAGUAACUUGUUCAAGAAUCAUUACAGAGGGUUUUUGGCCAAUUAGUGUACAAGGGAUUUCUUUAAGAGAAGAGAAAAUUAUCUAAACAAUAGGAUAAUUUGUCAUUUUCAUAGAGCAUUUUUGUCAAAGUUCGCUUUAUAGUAGAAACAUGCAGAUCCGUUUCAUUGUAGGUGAUUUGGCGGUGAAAAUGUACAUUUAAUUACAUUCUGUAUACUUUUCCAUUCAAAGGAGGUCCGUCAUCACUGAUACUAUUUCUUCUGGAAGUCCUAAGACCAAAAAGCACUGACGCGGUUUUUGAAUAGUAUUCUCUAUAGAAAGAGAAGGAAUACAUCCAGCCAUUUACUAUAUUUAUCAAAAGUGAAAAGAAAAUAGGUAUUUUCUUUUUGGAAAGAGUCAAUAUGAAUUCGUUCAAAAUGAGGUUCACAGUAUCUGAAAAAUUGCUUUAUAUCAGAAUCUAACAGAGGCCAGCACUUCACCUCUAGCAACAUUUUAAUGCAAUCUGUUGUUUAUGUAGUAAUUUUAAUAUAGCAGGGCGAAAUUGAAAUGAAGUUAUUAUUCUGUUGCCUUAUAGCAAACAACCAUUUUCUAGAUUUAUUUCAUUUUUCCUUUGAUAGUAUAGUUUGAGGUUCAACAUUGGCACUUGCCCAAUCCGUUUUUCAGUGAAAAGAAACGCGUUUUCAGAACUUAUCUUGAGCCGUACAUUGUUGAAUUUCAAAACUUAAUAAUGGAAGCUGAUAAAAGUCUGACAAAAAGCAUACUCUAUCCACUAAACUGUCUUUGAAAGGUAGUCUAGAAAGAGCAUCUGCUACAGCUAUUUGAGAAGGAUUUUUGUACUCAAUACCAUAGUUGUAUGCACAUAACUGCAGUCUAGCAGCAGCUAAUGCAAUAAAUAAAUGUAUACAGGGUGUUUUAGAACUAUGGGAUCAAACUUCUGGAGGUUGUUCAGUGCAACAGAAGAAUCCAUUUGAGUAUAGUAACCCAUGUCCGGAAAUGCGUCACUACGCCACUACGGUCCUAAGACGCGUUAAAAUUUAUAAAAAACAUUAAUUACCUAAAUAGGAUCUGCUGCAUUUAUUUUUACCUUUUGUACAUGAUACCAUAACAACAAUUGUUUAAAAUCAACGCUUAUCAAUGUCAAUUCUCAAUGUCAUGCUUAAAAAUUUUAUAGCUUACAAUUUUUAAACAUUUAUUGCUAAUGGAAAACUUUACCAAUCAAGAAUUGGCGGAUAUGCAUUUGGCAUACGGAGCAACAAACUGCAAUGCACGAGCAGCAUCGCGGUUGUAUCAUGAACGUUAUUCCGAACGACAGCAUUCUGGAUACAAAAAGUUUAUUGCGGUUCAUCGGCGGCUCGCUGAGACAGGCAUGUUUAAGACCAAGAUGCAUGAUACUGGUGUUGCUCGAACCGUAAGAACGGUCGAAUUUGAAGAAGAGGUGCUUCAGCGAGUUGCCGAUGAACCAUCAAAUAGCAUACGUGACGUCGCUAAGAAUAUGAAUUCAAGUAACGCUUCUGUCUGGCGGGUACUACACGAGCAACAACUCCAUCCUUACCACUUCCAGAAAGUUCAAGGUAUGACUGCAGCCGAUUAUCAUCCUAGAGUUCAAUUUUGUCGAUGGCUUCUGGAUCACAUUUAAUUGGGCCAUACCUCGGAUUAUUUAAUUGGGCCAUACCUUCUACCGGAACGGUUAACAGGACCUAUUUAUCUGCGUUUCUUAGAGGUAGUUCUCCCAGAACUCCUUGAAAAUGUUCCACUAAACGUUAGACAGUAAAUGUGGUUUCAGCAUGAUCGAGCGCCGGCUCACUUUGCUGUACAAGUACGCGAGUAUUUGGCUCAGCGGUUUGGGCACCGUUGGAUUGCCAGAGGUGGAGCAGUUUCUUGGCCUUCUAGGUUAACCCGAUUUAACGUCGCUCGAUUCUUUCUUCUAAGGACAUGUAAAGUCUUUAGACUACGAAACUCCAGUAGAAUCAGAGCUAGACUUAAUUGGAUGAAUAACAGCAGCAUUUCAAAUCAUUCAAAACGAGGAUCAAAUUUUUAGCGUAGUCCGCCGAAAUCAUGUGCGGCGUUUAAAUCGGUGUAUUGAGGUUGGAGGAAGACAUUUUGAAUAAUUGUUGUGAUGGUAUCAUAUACAAAAGGGCCGUAGUGGCGUAGUGACACAUUUCCGGACAUGGGUUCCUAUACUCAAAUAGUUGCACUCAACAACCCCUAGAAGUUUGAUCCCAUAGUUCUGAAACACCCUGUAGAAUUUUAAAACUGAAAAAAUAAUUGCUAAGGCUUCUUUAUCUACUUAGGAAUAGUUUUGUUAAGUACUGUUUAAUGUGCUUGAAAUAAAUUGGAUCUUACUCACCAUUAAUAA